rnacentral:misc_RNA from 1 species
UUAAGUUCAGCGGGUAGUCCUACCUGAUUUGAGGUCAAGCUUAAAUAGUGUAUGCCUCACAAGGAGACAGUCCGAAGACCGUUAGAAGCUGAACAGAAAGGAUUCACAGCAGCGGCAUAGAUACGAUUAUCAAACCAAAGCCGGUCCCUCAUAGUUCCGCUAAUGCAUUUGAGAGGAGCUGGCAAUGACACCAGCAGGCC